GGGGCUGUAGCUCAGUUGGGAGAGCGCUUGCAUGGCAUGCAAGAGGUCGUCGGUUCGAGCCCGAUCAGCUCCA
rnacentral:tRNA from 2 species